rnacentral:rRNA from 1 species
AUGGAGAGCCGCGGUGGCGCGCCGUCGCCGCACCUGCUGUUCGUCACCAGCCCAAUGCAGGGCCACAUCAACCCGGUGCGCCGCCUCGCCGCCCGCGCCGCGGUCACCGUCUCCACCGCCGUCUCGGGCCACCGCCGCAUGUUCCCCUCCCUCGCGUCGCCCGGCGAGGAGGCCGUCGACGCCGCGGGCGUGCUGCACGCCCCCUUCUCCGACGGCUACGACGAGGGGGUCGACCCACGGGUGCACGACAUGCGCUCCUUCGCCGCGCGCGCCCGCGCCGUCGGGCGCGAGUCGCUCGCUGGCGUCGUCGCCCGCCUCGCCGAGCGCGGCCGCCCCGUCACGUGCGUCCUGUACACCUUCUUCGUGGGCUGGGUGCCCGAGGUCGCGCGCGCCGGCGGCGUCCCCUCGGCGCUCUUCUGGAUCCAGCCGGCCGCCGUGUUCGCGGUGUACUACCACUACUUCCACGGCCACGACGCCGUGCUCGCUUCCUGCGCCAACGACCCGGACCGCGACGCCGUCGUCCAGCUGCCGGGGCUGCCGCCGCUCAGGCCCCGCGCGCUCCCGUCCGUCGUGGCGUUAACCUCGCCGGAGCAGCGGGGCUACGAGGUGGUCGGCACGCUGCGGGACCUCUUCCUGGCGCUCGAUGACGAUGAGCACAGGACCAAGGUGCUGGUCAACACGUUCGAUGCGCUGGAGCCCGACGCGCUCCGUGCGGUGCCGGGGCUUGAGCUCGUCGCCGUUGGGCCUGUGGUGCCGGACGGCGCGUCCCCGUCCACCACAGAUCUGUCCCUGCGCGACAACGACGACGACGACGACGUGAAUGGGUACAUGGAGUGGCUGGACACCAAGGCCGCGCGCUCUGUGGUGUACGUCUCGUUCGGGACCAUAUUCGCGGCGAGCAAGCGGCAGGAGCUGGAGACGUUGCAAGGACCCAAGGCCACCGGCCGGCCGUACCUAUGGGUGUCGCGCAAGGUCGCAGAGGAUGGUGCAGAGUUGGACGGCGCGGGAGCGGGUGGCGGCGCCGACGGAGGGCGAGGGAUCAUGGUGGAGUGGUGCGACCAGGUGCGCGUGCUGUCGCACCCGGCAGUGGGAUGCUUCGUGACGCACUGCGGGUGGAACUCGGCGCUGGAGAGCAUCGCGUGCGGCGUGCCUGUCGCGGCCGUGCCGCAGUGGACGGACCAGCCGACGGUGGCGUGGCUGGUGGAGGAGUGCGCGGGCGUCGGGGUUCGCGCGCAGGCGGACGGCGAGGCGGUGGCGGAGCGAGGCGAGCUCCAAAGGUGCGUGGAGACGGUCAUGGGCGACGGCGAAGCAGCAGUGGAGAUCCGAGCAUGCGCGGCAAAAUGGAUGGAGCGGGCCAGGGAGGCGCUCGCCGCCGGCGGGACGCUGGAGAGGAAUCUCCGAGCCUUCCUGUCUGGUUUCUGA